AUGUCGAGGGAAAACAAGCGUGCGCGUACAGCGCCGCCGGCAGGGCGGCGGCGCUGGUCGUCCGCGUUACCAGACGACGUCCUCUCCGUUGUGUACCGCAUGGUCGCCUCCCUGCGCGACCGUGUGCGCUUUGCCGCCGUCUGCCGGUCGUGGCGGGCCGCGGCGCGAGGGGCGCCGCCCGCCGCCGCGCUGCCGUGGCUGCUCCUCGAGCCCUGCGAUUGCAGCACGACGAAGCGGCUGCACAUCCCCGAGGACGGCGCCAUGGUGCGGCUCCAGCUUCCCCGGCGCAGUAGGCGGCUCAUCGGCUGCCAUGACGGCGGCUGGGUCAUCUCAACCGCGCCGCUCAGAAUCGUCAACCUCUUCUCCGGCGCCAAGGUGGCUCUCCCUGAGAAACCGGCGGGGGUCUUCUCUGAGAGCAAAAUUGUAUUCUCCAAGCCGCCCACCUCGGGUGAUUGUAUCCUUGCCACCGUGAACGAGCACCGUGGCAUCGCGCUAUGUAGGGUUGACGGUCCGGACAGCGUGUGGACGAGACAAAUAUGUAAAUCCCGCGAGACAAUGGACGACAUCGCGUUUUGCAAUGGCGAGCUGUAUGGCCUCACAAAGUACAACAUGAAGGUAACCAAAUUUGAGAUAGGCGUGAAUGAGCACGGAGCGCCCGUGGUCACUGCUGAGAUCCAUCUCAGCUGCUCUGUCUCGAUGGACAACAUCGGGGAGAAGAUCAGUUACAUCUUUGAUUUACGUGGCAAGCUUGCAAUGGCCAUCAGAACCCAGUGGUCACUAGACCACGAGCCUUUCUUCAAGGUGUUCGAGCUCGUCGACAUCCAUGACGAUGAACUAGCGGUGUCUGACAAGCACACGUGGAUAGAGGUCACAAGCUUGGGUGACCAUGCCUUGUUCUUAGGACAAACUUUCUCUAGGGCGGUGCCUGUGCCGGCAGACAAACCUGGCCACAUGGAGAGAAACCACAUCUAUUACUCUUGUUGCUUGAAUCAAAGUGAUGAUCCCCCUUGUGGUGUGUUAAGAACGUUCUCGAAAGGCUGCAGUGGCCAGAAAUAUUACAGGGGAGACGACAGGAAGAAGGACAUCACCAACGAUGACGUGAAGAGAAUCACAUCAACAGGAUAUUUCGUGACGGGCAGUCCUUACAGUAGCAUGUGGAUUCUCCCUCCGGAUAUGUAG
rnacentral:rRNA from 1 species